AAAAACGAACUAAUUGUGAGCAAAAAACUUGAAUUUGGCUAUCAUUUCUUCAAACAUCACAGCCUUUUUAAAAGAUGGCCACCCAGCAUCGUCAGCAACCUUUUUUUAAAACAUCAUCUUCCACCACAUCUGGUUCCUACUUCUUAAAUUUCAACUCCAGCAAUAAUGGAAAUCAAGUAAACCAGCCCCAGCAUAGUGCGUCAAAUUGUCGUUCAAACUUAGCACCUUCCACCAACUUUUUUGCACCAAACAACACAGUCAUGCGACAAAAGGAUAAAGAAGUGGAACGCGAAGCAAGUCAAACGACAGAAAGACUUUCCGCUCUUCACAACAAGUUGCAUCAACAAGC